CUGACUUCAGCUCUAUGUUCAAACCCAUCACACCUGAGAGAGCUGGACCUGAGUGGAAAUAAAAUAGAAAACAAAGGAGUGCAGAUCCUGUGUGACAUACUGAAUAGUUCACACUGUGAACUGGAGAGAUUGAGCCUAAAUGACUGUGGCAUUACAGAUGUUGCUUGUUUGGCUCAGACUUUGGUUAAAACAAAACUUCUUCGGUUUUUAAAAGAGCUUGAUCUGAGUAACAAUAAAAUAGGAGACUCAAAACAGCAGAUCAUUGAUGUGCUACAAGACUCAAACUGUGAACUGAGUCUGGAGAAAGAGCAUUUGCUCAGCUGGAGAGCUGGUGUGAACUACAUUGGUAGUUUUGGUGGGUGGUUAACAUCCUUGACUAAAGCUCAAGAGGAUCCUGUGGAAUCAACAGAACAAGAAAAGUCACCGUCAGAUGAGGAAUUUCUAGAAGGUUCUCCAUUUAGUACUGUAAGAAAUCAGUAUGUGUGGUGGUCAUUUUAGUGAGAUUUUAUGCUGUUGAACAAAUCGAAAGUUUUCAGGUGGCAAAGGCUCAGAAAUAAUGCAGUAUUAAUAGAAACAUACAGGGGGAAGUCGUGGCAUGAAUGUUUGCCCACUGCUUCAGGUGUGUGUUCACGGUGUGUUUGUGUG